rnacentral:rRNA from 1 species
AUAUUGCACAAUGGGGGAAACCCUGAUGCAGCGACGCCGCGUGAGUGAAGAAGUAUUUCGGUAUGUAAAGCCCUAUCAGCAGGGAAGAUAAUGACGGUACCUGACCAAGAAGCCCCGGCUAACUACGUGCCUGCAGCCGCGGUAAUACGUAGGGGGCAAGCGUUAUCCGGAUUUACUGGGCGUAAAGGGAGCGUAGGUGGCAGGGCAAGUCAGAUGUGAAAACCCGGGGCUCAACCCCGGGAGUGCAUUUGAAACUGUCCAGCUGGAGUACAGGAGAGGUAAGCGGAAUUCCUAGUGUAGCGGUGAAAUGCAUAGAUAUUAGGAGGAACACCAGUGGCGAAGGCGGCUUACUGGACUGUAACUGACACUGAGGCUCGAAAGCGUGGGGAGCAAACAGG